AUUGAAAGCUGGCGGCAGGCCUAACACAUGCAAGGCGGGCGAGCGGCGGAAGGGUGAGUAAUGUAAGGGGAUCUGCCUGAUGGAGGGGGAUAACGACUGGAAACGGUAGCUAAUAACGCAUACAAUAAGAGGACCACAUAUGGGAUUAGAUUGUAGGUAAGGUAACGGCUUACCUAGGCGACGAUCCCUAGCUGGUCUGAGAGGAUGAUCAGCCACACUGGGACUGAGACACGGCCCAGACUCCUACGUGAGGCAGCAGUGGGGAAUAUUGCACAAUGGGCGCAAGCCUGAUGCAGCCAUGCCGCGUGUAUGAAGAAGGCCUUCGGGUUGUAAAGUACUUUCAGUCGGGAGGCGUUACCGACAGAAUAAGCACCGGCUAACUUCGUGCCAGCAGCCGCGGUAAUC
rnacentral:rRNA from 1 species